CACGUAGUUAGCCGGUGCUUAUUCUUCCGGUACCGUCAUCUACCCCAGGUAUUAGCCAGAGCAAUUUCUUUCCGGACAAAAGUGCUUUACAACCCGAAGGCCUUCUUCACACACGCGGCAUUGCUGGAUCAGGGUUGCCCCCAUUGUCCAAAAUUCCCCACUGCUGCCUCCCGUAGGAGUCUGGGCCGUGUCUCAGUCCCAGUGUGGCUGAUCGUCCUCUCAGACCAGCUACUGAUCGUCGCCUUGGUGGGCCUUUACCCCACCAACUAGCUAAUCAGACAUCGGCCGCUCCUGCUGCGCGAGGCCUUGCGGUCCCCCGCUUUCACCCUCAGGUCGUAUGCGGUAUUAGCUAAUCUUUCGACUAGUUAUCCCCCACAACAGGGUACGUUCCGAUGUAUUACUCACCCGUUCGCCACUCGCCGCCAGACCGAAGUCCGCGCUGCCGUUCGACUUGCAUGUGUAAGGCAUGCCGCCAGCGUUCAAUCUGAGCCAGGAUCAAACUCU
rnacentral:rRNA from 1 species